AGCAGGGAAGGGACAGGAUGGAAGAACACUGAACUGGGACUCAGGGACCAGGUCCGCAGAGUGAUCAUGUCUCCGCAAGCGAUCUUGGGGAACCGGGAAGAGAAGCCGAAACGGGACCCCGAGUGACUGCACUGGCCUGGCGGAGACCCACGUCAGGAUGUGGGAGUCAGGCAGGGUUUUUCACUCAACCAGGAAAAAGCCAGGCCUUGCAGCCUGGCCCCAUAGUCUUCUCAGUGUCUCAGACAGUGGACCCGGCGCA